rnacentral:misc_RNA from 1 species
GAUGAAGAACGUAGCGAAAUGCGAUAAGUAAUGUGAAUUGCAGAAUUCAGUGAAUCAUCGAAUCUUUGAACGCACAUUGCGCCCCUUGGUAUUCCGAGGGGCAUGCCUGUUCGAGCGUCAUUAUAACCCUCAAGCUCAGCUUGGUGUUGGGGCCUGCUGCACUGGCAGCCCUUAAAAUCAGUGGCGGCGCCAUCUGGCUCUAAGCGUAGUAAUUCUUCUCGCUAUGGAGUCCUGGUGGAUGCUUGCCAUCAACCCCCAAUUUUUCUAUGGUUGACCUCGGAUCAGGUAGGGAUACCCGCUGAACUUAAGCAUAUCAAGCGGAGGA